rnacentral:rRNA from 1 species
GUGAGUAACACGUGGGUAACCUGCCCAUCAGAAGGGGAUAACACUUGGAAACAGGUGCUAAUACCGUAUAACAAUCGAAACCGCAUGGUUUUGAUUUGAAAGGCGCUUUCGGGUGUCGCUGAUGGAUGGACCCGCGGUGCAUUAGCUAGUUGGUGAGGUAACGGCUCACCAAGGCCACGAUGCAUAGCCGACCUGAGAGGGUGAUCGGCCACAUUGGGACUGAGACACGGCCCAAACUCCUACGGGAGGCAGCAGUAGGGAAUCUUCGGCAAUGGACGAAAGUCUGACCGAGCAACGCCGCGUGAGUGAAGAAGGUUUUCGGAUCGUAAAACUCUGUUGUUAGAGAAGAACAAGGAUGAGAGUAACUGUUCAUCCCUUGACGGUAUCUAACCAGAAAGCCACGGCUAACUACGUGCCAGCAGCCGCGGUAAUACGUAGGUGGCAAGCGUUGUCCGGAUUUAUUGGGCGUAAAGCGAGCGCAGGCGGUUUCUUAAGUCUGAUGUGAAAGCCCCCGGCUCAACCGGGGAGGGUCAUUGGAAACUGGGAGACUUGAGUGCAGAAGAGGAGAGUGGAAUUCCAUGUGUAGCGGUGAAAUGCGUAGAUAUAUGGAGGAACACCAGUGGCGAAGGCGGCUCUCUGGUCUGUAACUGACGCUGAGGCUCGAAAGCGUGGGGAGCAAACAGGAUUAGAUACCCUGGUA